GACGAACGCUGGCGGCGUGCUUAACACAUGCAAGUCGAACGGUGACCUCGAGAGCUUGCUCUUGGGUGAUCAGUGGCGAACGGGUGAGUAACACGUGAGGAACCUGCCCCAGACUCUGGAAUAACCCCGGGAAACCGGAGCUAAUACCGGAUAUGACAUCAGGCCGCAUGGUCAUGGUGUGGAAAGUUUUUCGGUCUGGGAUGGCCUCGCGGCCUAUCAGCUUGUUGGUGAGGUAGUGGCUCACCAAGGCGACGACGGGUAGCCGGCCUGAGAGGGCGACCGGCCACACUGGGACUGAGACACGGCCCAGACUCCUACGGGAGGCAGCAGUGGGGAAUAUUGCACAAUGGGCGAAAGCCUGAUGCAGCGACGCCGCGUGAGGGAUGACGGCCUUCGGGUUGUAAACCUCUUUCAGUAGGGAAGAAGCGCAAGUGACGGUACCUACAGAAGAAGCACCGGCUAACUACGUGCCAGCCGCCGCAGUAACAC
rnacentral:rRNA from 1 species